GGUGAGUAACACGUAGGCAACCUGCCUCUCAGACUGGGAUAACAUAGGGAAACUUAUGCUAAUACCGGAUAGGUUUUUGGAUCGCAUGAUCCGAAAAGGAAAGAUGGCUUCGGCUAUCACUGGGAGAUGGGCCUGCGGCGCAUUAGCUAGUUGGUGGGGUAACGGCCUACCAAGGCGACGAUGCGUAGCCGACCUGAGAGGGUGACCGGCCACACUGGGACUGAGACACGGCCCGAGCUACUACGGGGGGCAGCAGUAGGGAAUUUUGCACAAUGAACGAAAGUCUGAUCGAGCAACGCCGCGUGAACGAUGAAGGUCUUCGGAUUGUAAAGUUCUGUUGUCAGGGACGAACAAGUACCGAGUCCUAAGGGCGGUACCUUGACGGUACCUGACGAGAAAGCCACGGCUAACUACGUGCCAGCGGCCGCGGUAAUACGUAGGUGGCAUAAGCGGUUAAAGGAGUCCGGAUUUAUUGGGCUAGGUGAGCGCGCGCAGGCGGCUAUGUAAGUCUGGUGUUAAAGCCCGGGGCUC
rnacentral:rRNA from 1 species